CAUGAUAACACUCAGAGACAGUGACUUGGAUGAGCCUGGAUUCAGCGAUUGCCCAGCAAGUUCAUGGUCCUGGGGCAUGAUCCAGAAAGUCAAGUCAGUGUGCAAGAGUCAGGAUAAGGAGGUGUGAGUCUUGACAGCAGCAGGGAUGAAGGGCAAGACAUGUAGCUUGCACGCUUCUCUGAAGGGGAAGGCAGGAGAUCCUGCACUGAGGCUCCUUUCCAGCUCCUCCUUCACUCUGGCUCUUGGCUCAACUCCCAGAACCAGUAGGGCUUGGAAUCAGAAUCACAGCAAAAAUUGGGUUGGAAGAGACCUUUACAGCCUUUUCCCACAGAAGAGAUGCUCCAAUCCUCUGGUAAUUUGUUCUGGCCCUCCUCUGGACCUAUUUCAACAGGUCCAUAUCUUUCCUCUGCUUAGGAUCCCAGAGCUGGACGCAGCACUACAGGCAAGAAAGCAUAGCUGGAAACACCAGUCACCAUAGAGCUGUCAGAACUCUUUCUGUCUCUUAAUUGUUGGCUUUGAGCAGAACACCAAAGAUGACAAAACUCAGGAAUCAUUCUGG